UCUAUGCGUUAGAGCGAGCAUGUUAGAAACAUCAGAGUUUUGAUGACUAUACAUACUGUGAAGAAAUGUCACUACGAAAACUUUGAAGAUUGCAAAACAGCAGCGACUAAGUCACAUUCUUAAAAUUCACUAUCAGCACCUUCAACGCUUGCAUCUUCAUCG